GGCCUCGUAGCUCAGUUGGCUAUAGUGUUGGCUGUACUAAAGCCUUCCUUUUGCAGGUGUGGGUUCAAAUCCCACCGAGGCGG
rnacentral:tRNA from 1 species